GUGCCAGCAGCCGCGGUAAGACGAACCGUACAAACGUUAUUCGGAAUCACUGGGCUUAAAGGGUGCGUAGGCGGCGCUGUAAGUUGGGUGUGAAAUCCCUCGGCUCAACCGAGGAACUGCGCCCAAAACUACAGUGCUUGAGGGAGAUAGAGGUGAGCGGAACUUAGGGUGGAGCGGUGAAAUGCGUUGAUAUCCUAAGGAACGCCAGGGGCGAAAGCGGCUCACUGGGUCUCUUCUGACGCUGAGGCACGAAAGCUAGGGUAGCGAACGGGAUUAGAAACCCGUGUAGUCC
rnacentral:rRNA from 1 species